UGGAGGGGGGUGAAGUAUUUCUUCUGCCUAUUGCGGAAAUAUCCUCUGCUAAGCAGUCAGGGACGGCCGUCCUUUCUGUAAUAACACAUCCUGGGCUGAGGGGUGAUAGUGAGUCACUGUGGUGACUGCAGGAGAGGAGGAAGUUAGUGUGUAAGAAUCACAGUGGUGGCAGAAGCUCCAGGAAAAGGGCUGUUAUCAGAAGCAGCUCCCAGAAAAAAGCAACAUUCAGCGGCAAAGAAAAGAAGCAAUGCAAUAGGAUGCAAAAGUAGAGUUAAUAUUGGUGUGGCUUUUCAACUCUGAAGAAGCACUUCAGUAGUAAAAAGAUACAGUUUGAUGCUGAAAUCACAGCGUUUUGUUUAGACUGCCCCUCCCCUGGCGAGCGUCCGGCGCUCACAGCAAGCUGGACUCCACUGCUGGGAUAGGUGCUGAUGGGGGACUGGUCACUGCUGCAUGUAGACUGACCGCCAGGGCUUGGCUGAGACGUCUGACGAAGCGUCAUCCCGUCCGGAUGGUCCUGAGGAGCAGCAGUGGAAAAGGUGCGCGUUCUGGGCUGUGCUCGGCAGCCUAAAAACAAGAGACAACACAAGUAGGAGGAAACUCCCAGGAGAGGAGCGCUUGGAGGGGGGGUCCUGCCUGUACCAUGUUCGCUCUCUGCUGAGAUGUGGCUGGCAUGCGACGCCUGCUAUCUAUUACCUGUGAUGAUGAAUCGCACGCG